rnacentral:rRNA from 1 species
AUUGAACGCUGGCGGCAUGCUUUACACAUACAAGUCGAACGGUAACAGGGAGCUUGCUCCGCUGACGAGUGGCGAACGGGUGAGUAAUAUAUCGGAACGUACCCAAGAGUGGGGGAUAACGUAGCGAAAGUUACGCUAAUACCGCAUACGAUCUAAGGAUGAAAGCAGGGGACCUUCGGGCCUUGUGCUCCUGGAGCGGCCGAUAUCUGAUUAGCUAGUUGGUGAGGUAAAGGCUCACCAAGGCGACGAUCAGUAGCUGGUCUGAGAGGACGACCAGCCACACUGGAACUGAGACACGGUCCAGACUCCUACGGGAGGCAGCAGUGGGGAAUUUUGGACAAUGGGCGCAAGCCUGAUCCAGCAAUGCCGCGUGAGUGAAGAAGGCCUUCGGGUUGUAAAGCUCUUUUGUCAGGGAAGAAACGGGAUUGGCUAAUAUCCAGUCCUAAUGACGGUACCUGAAGAAUAAGCACCGGCUAACUACGUG